GACGAACGCUGGCGGCGUGCCUAAUACAUGCAAGUCGAGCGAAUCUCUGAAGGAGCUUGCUCCUGAUGAGGUUAGCGGCGGACGGGUGAGUAACACGUAGGCAACCUGCCUGCAAGCCUGGGAUAACAUCCGGAAACGGAUGCUAAGACCGGAUACGCAGCUUGGUCGCAUGACCGAGCUGGGAAAGACGGAGCAAUCUGUCGCUUGCGGAUGGGCCUGCGGCGCAUUAGCUAGUUGGUGAGGUAACGGCCCACCAAGGCGACGAUGCGUAGCCGACCUGAGGGGGUGAACGGCCACACUGGGACUGAGACACGGCCCAGGCUCCUACGGGAGGCAGCGGUAGGGAAUCUUCCAGAAUGGACGCAAGUGUGAUGGAGCAACGCCGGGUGAGUGAGGAAGGCCUUCGGGUCGUAAAGCUCUGUUGCCAGGGAAGAACGCCUAAGAGAGUAACUGCUCUUAGGGUGACGGUACCUGAGAAGAAAGCCCCGGCUAACUACGUGCCAGCAGCCGCCGUAA
rnacentral:rRNA from 1 species